AUCGUGAAACUUCCGGGAACGCUUGCUAAACAGACUAGACCUGGGUUUCGCAAAGGUAUCGUAGCAAUAAACAUCUUAAUUCAAUUGAAACUAAAUAAACGAAAGAUAAUUUUAGUGCUACGAUGCUUUUGGGAAAAUCAGCCCAGGCCGGGGUUUGAGAAGUGAAAAACGAGUUGUUCCUUUUCUCGAAAUCUAAAGGCACAACGUGGAUUUGAGCCAAUGCCUCAACGAGUUUAACAUGUUAUUACGCCAAACUCAUGAAAGUGUCAAACUGACACGUUUUCAUCUUCAUCAAAAACAACUUUAUAUGGACGGAGUGCCUUUGAUUUGACGGUCUGGGUCAUUCCUAGUUUUCGGUACCUUUUCUGUCCCCAGGAAAUAUCAGUUCUUAUUUCGUGUAAUAUGUGGAUUCCAGAAGGCUUUAAAUAUAAGGUCAGGUGUCCUUAACCUUAAAAAACAUCAAAAUAUGGAUCUUGAAAGGGAGUUUUAUGCAAGUUUUUUUUCCAGUGGAUGUUGGCGUUUUUGCCAUGUCCCCAGUUAUCUACUUACACAAUAAAUAUGCCAGAAAAUAAUACACCUUUUAAAAUCGUUAUUCAUUAUGUUAUAGUCCUAGUUAGUCUCUUUCAUCAAUAAAGUAUUUUUCAUAAUUAUUGUUUUUAUUAUUUUAUUUAAGAUUUUCCCUGAUCACUUUCCCUGUUAGUUUGUUGAAAUUCUCCAUUUAAGAAAACAACCCCUUCCUACAAUGACACCACAUUUAGGAAGUGUCGUAAUUUCUUUGGUGGGAAAACUAUUUUGAAAAACUCAAUAAAUAUAAACACUCAGUUGUUAGUCUGUAUGUCCCACUCAUAAAUGUCCACUAUGUUAGGCUAAAUUAUGGAGAAAAUGUAAAUAUGUUUGAUAGAGAAGUUAAAAUCCUGUUCAAGUGUUCACCAUUUUGCUUGCCAGCUCAAUCUUGCUCACUCACAGAGCUAUGGCUAAUUUAGGCUCAAAAUUCCCACCCUGUUUAGGUUCCACCCAGUUAGGAUUAUGCGCCUAACAAAUUGGAAAAUGCACCCAAUAUUUUUGUGUAGGAGACACUUCAUCUACACCCUGAUGCAUGUGUUGUGACGGUGAGGCUGCUUCAUUCUCUGUCUUCUGGUAGGUCGUCUUCCCUGGUCAUCUGUGUUGCUGUUGCCCUGUGUUCCACACCAUGGCACGCCACAGUAAGCUGCAGAAACAGGUGUUGUCUCUGUUCCGCCAGUUCCUGCGUGCUGGCCAGGACAAGCCAGGCUUUCUACCCAGGAUCCGGGAUGAGUUCCGAGAGAACUCCAGCAUCAAGAAGACUGAUGUCAUGCACAUAGAAUAUCUUUACCGGCGUGGACAGAGACAGCUAGACCAGCUGAAAGAUGUGAACACAAAGCAACUAGGAACUUUCUCCAAACCCAAAGCAGAGAGAUGACCAAAACCAUUUCCUUCUCUACCUCUAACUGGAUACGUGGGCAUGCGCUAUGUAAUUACAUGAAUCAUUCACUAGUCAGAUUACUACUCCUUUCAAUCUGCAGCUGAGUAAGUGCAGUCAUUGUCCUAAGCAAUGGCAAUGGAUCUGAACUGUAUGACAUCACUAUUGUCCUCUGUCAGAGAGGUGGACACCACUGAUGAGGAUGAACAUUUGAAAACAGUCUCUGGCCAGUGAGUUUGUUUGGUUGAGCAGACCAGUUGCUCUGGUCAUUGUUGUAAAAUACUUUCAUCUAGCUACAUUAACCUGUUGAGUGUUUUGGAUUAAAGAUGAAAUCAUCAGUAUGAGAAGUGAAUUUGACUAUUUUAAGUCUAGCUAAUACUAGUAUAUGCUUACGUGUCACAAGAGGUCAAGUAAUGGCAUUAUAUAAUGCUUAUGAAAUGUACGGUAAAUAAACAUGUAUUGUCACAUACA